AUUGAACGCUGGCGGCAGGCCUAACCCAUGCAAGUCGAACGAGUGGCGGACGGGUGAGUACUGUCUGGGAAACUGCCUGAUGGAGGGGGAUAACUACUGGAAACGGUAGCUAAUACCGCAUACCAUCAGAUGUGCCCAGAUGGGAUUAGCUAGUUGGUGGGGUAACGGCUCACCAAGGCGACGAUCCCUAGCUGGAUUGAGAGGAGGACCAGCCACACUUGAACUGAGACACGGUCCAGACUCCUACGGGAGGCAGCAGUGGGGAAUAUUGCACAAUGGGCGAAAGCCUGAUGCAGCAAUGCCGCGUGUAUGAAGAAGGCCUUCGGGUUGUAAAGUACUUUCAGCGGGGAGGCGUUACCCGCAGAAGAAGCACCGGCUAACUCCGUGCCAGCAGCCGCGGUAAUUC
rnacentral:rRNA from 1 species